UACAGAGGGUGCAAGCGUUGUUCGGAAUUAUUGGGCGUAAAGCGCGUGUAGGCGGCUUUGCAAGUCGGGUGUGAAAGCCCUCAGCUCAACUGAGGAAGUGCGCCCGAAACUGCAGAGCUUGGGUACCGGAGAGGAUGGCGGAAUUCCCCAAGUAGAGGUGAAAUUCGUAGAUAUGGGGAGGAACACCGGUGGCGAAGGCGGCCAUCUGGACGGAUACUGACGCUGAGACGCGAAAGCGUGGGGAGCAAACAGG
rnacentral:rRNA from 1 species